AAAAAAGAGUGGAAGAAAAGGCAGAUCAGAGCGAAGUCUUAGGCCAUCUAAACGUGGGACCCGGCACCGUUUCCUCCUCUAUCAAUCCAGCUAACAAUUCACGAACCCUUCCUGUGUCACGUUGGCACUCUCUAUGCCAUACCACAACCCCUUCCCUUCCUCCUCUCCCUUUCCCUAUCUUUGGCGUGAGGAUAUUAUUAAUACCCUCAUCUCCCUCUCUGCAACUUAUUUUUUAUUUUCACAUUUCCAAGAAUUUAAUUUCUUCUUAUUUAUAUAUAUGCUUCUCUACUCUUUCUCUCUUUCCAUUUUUAUAUGUUCAUAACAUACCAUGAUGACCUUUUGUAAGAAGAGCGUUCACUCUUUCUUAGGUCUCUCCACAAUUCCCAUGAAUUUUGAUGAUGAUAAUAAACAACCUUGUUCUUCCAAAUGCCUUGCUCUUUUAACUUCUGGCCUUGGCUUGACUACUGCCACUGCUGCUGAUUCUCAUAAAACUCCUAAUGUUCUUGAAUCUGCUUCUCUUGUCAAGUCUUGUUCAUCAUCGUCAUCGACCACCUCUCCUCCUCCCUCUCCUUUAAAGAAAGAUUAUCCUGGUGGGAUUGGUUUCAUUGAUGAUGUUGGUGGUGGUGUUAAUGGAUUGAUGUCUUGCACCGAGAGUUUAGGGUUUGAGAGCUCUGAUGAAAGAAGGGUAGAUGAUGAUGAUGAGAUUGAGUUGUGUUGUUCUGCUAAUAAGGUUAUUAAGUGGAGGAAGAUUGCUGAGAAAAGAGAGGUUAAAAAGUUUCCACCACUGAUUUCUUCCUUGGACCAUAAUGUUCACCCUUGUUUCUUUCUCCGACCGGUUAGAAAGGAUGGAAGACUCGAGUUGAGGGCGGUUAGGAUUGAUCGGCCGGAGAUUUUUCGUGCUCAUCGUGAAGGUGGAAGGUUGAGGUUGCAUCUUGUUGGAGAUGAAGACUCUGAUAUUAAUGAUGAAACUCGACUUCAAGAUCAAGAAUAUGAACUGUAGGAAGAAACAAAAGAAGAAAUAUGGGAGGAAGAUUAAGAAGAGACAGGUGGGGAGUGGAGGUUUCCAGUGAAUAGAGAGGGGCUUAGAAGGUGUCAUGAGUUGGUGACACACCAUCAUGAUUAUCACCACGACCGCCACGGCCAUCACCAUAACUUGCAUGUAUGGAGCCAGCAUUGCGUGACAUCUAGGUAAAGCUAGAAUGGUGAUGUGGGGGUGUGAAAAGAGACGAGAAUUAAGGUUGUGUGUGUCUGUGUACGUAUCUGCGUGUCUUUAAUUUGAGAUUCCUAGCGUGGGUAGAGACAUAACAUAAUUGAUCAUGGGAGAUCAAUAGGUUGAUUUGCCACAACCAAAUUUGGAGGAAUGGAUCGGAUAAUAGUAGAAUGACAUGCAAACGAAUCUCGGCCCCUACACCAAUUGAAAUGACCUUGUAGUUA
rnacentral:misc_RNA from 1 species